rnacentral:rRNA from 1 species
AGAGUUUGAUCCUGGCUCAGAUUGAACGCUGGCGGCAGGCUUAACACAUGCAAGUCGAGCGGUAACAGAUCUAGCUUGCUAGAUGCUGACGAGCGGCGGACGGGUGAGUAACGCGUAGAAAACUGCCCAGUAGUGGGGGAUAGCCCAGAGAAAUUUGGAUUAAUACCGCAUACGCCCUACGGGGGAAAGGGGGCUUCGGCUCUCGCUAUUGGAUGUGUCUGCGUGGGAUUAGCUAGUUGGUGAGGUAAGGGCUCACCAAGGCGACGAUCCCUAGCUGGUCUGAGAGGAUGAUCAGCCACACUGGGACUGAGACACGGCCCAGACUCCUACGGGAGGCAGCAGUGGGGAAUAUUGCACAAUGGACGCAAGUCUGAUGCAGCAAUGCCGCGUGUGUGAAGAAGGCCUUAGGGUUGUAAAGCACUUUCAGUAGGGAGGAAAAGUUCAAGGUUAAUAACCUUGGGCCCUGACGUUACCUACAGAGAAGCACCGCUAACU